CGAUGAAGGAGAGCUUGCUCUCCGGAUUAGUGGCGCACGGGUGAGUAAUGCAUAGAUAAUGUGCCCCUUAGUUCGGGAUAGCCACUGGAAACGGUGAUUAAUACCGGAUACUCCUUCUUGUCUCAAGGCAAGUCGGGAAAGUUUUUCGCUAAGGGAUCAGUCUAUGUCCUAUCAGCUAGUUGGUGAGGUAAUGGCCCACCAAGCCAAAGACGGGUAGCUGGAGCGAGAGCUCGAACAGCCACACUGGAACUGAGACACGGUCCAGACUCCUACGGGAGGCAGCAGUCGGGAAUUUUGGACAAUGGGCGAAAGCCUGAUCCAGCGACGCCGCGUGCAGGAUGAAGUCCUUCGGGAUGUAAACUGUUGUCGGGCGGGACGAACGAAUUACGGGCUAAUAUCCCGUAGAAGUGACGGUACCGCCUAAGGAAGCACCGGCUAACUCUGUGCCAGCAGCCGCGGUAAUACGAAGGGGGCUAGCGUUGUUCGGAUUUACUGGGCGUAAAGCGCACGUAGGCGGAUCUUUAAGUCAGGGGUGAAAUCCCGGAGCUCAACUCCGGAACUGCCUUUGAUACUGGGGAUCUCGAGUCCGGGAGAGGUGAGUGGAACUGCGAGUGUAGAGGUGAAAUUCGUAGAUAUUCGCAAGAACACCAGUGGCGAAGGCGGCUCACUGGCCCGGUACUGACGCUGAGGUGCGAAAGCGUGGGGAGCAAACAGGAUUAGAUACCCUGGUAGUCCACGCCGUAAACGAUGGAUGCUAGCCGUUAGGCAGCUUGCUGCUUAGUGGCGCAGCUAACGCAUUAA
rnacentral:rRNA from 1 species